AAAGAGUUCCACUGGUUGACUGUGCAUUUCUCCUCCCUUCCCCUGCCCCCCUUGUGGCCAUUUGUGUGCCCUUUGCUAUCUCUUUACCUUUAACUUCACUUUAGCUGCGGUCCACGCUUCUUUGUGCUUCAUCCCUCCUGUCUUUACUUUUUUUUAAUGUUCCUAUACCCUCCUUCACUCAUCUCUAGUUUCUUUUUGCAAAUUUAUCACAUUCUAGGCCAUAAUGAGCAAGAGAUAAAGACAUACACAUUCUUCACCCCCACUCUCAUGGCAGGACAGAAGGAAAUGUAUAUAGGAUUGAAGCAGAAUGCAACUGAACACAAAAUGUUCAGUGUUUUCCUCCCCUACUUAUCUGAGCCAGUCAGAGUGGGGGAGAGGAUGUGAUUUUUUUUUUUUUUUUUGGUUCCCACUCAGCAGCUGAUUGAUUGCAGAGUAGUAUAUCCAUUGAAAAUUGGGAGGAGGAGAAGCCAACAAACUGGCUACAUAACUUUCUCAGCAAAGCAUUAAAACAAGUUUAAUAACUGCAGAGCUCAGGAACGAAAUAUAAACCAGAUUUUGCAUAAAAUGUGUACAUAGAAGGGUAUUAAUGCUAAUUCUCUGGGCGGUGCUUAUAGAAGAUACAUCAUUGAAAUAAUUCACAAAAAUUAAAAAUAUUAUUUUCUUGAUGAGAGGCUCGACAUGGGCUUGAUAUUCUGUCUGUAAAGUAUAAUCUCACCCCACCAGGUGCUCUAACAGGCUGCUAAAAACUAUAUUUGGACACUUAAGUCCUUUUAACAAUAAUGAUCUAUCUGCAGAGUAUAUGGGGAUAAUGACUGAGGCUGCAACUGGGCUCAAAUUCUGUGUGGGAUGUGGGGGUUACAACUGUAAACUAUUCAUGUGUGUGUAUUGUGACAAAGUCAGACCUGACAGCUGUAAGAGAGUGGAGGAAGGCUGGUAUAUCAGCCCUAGAAUGGUGAAGGCCCUUUUCCCUAUGAAGUGAAAAGAGGUUACCUCAGGUUAACUAGAGACACUGGACUCCAAUUAAGGGCUGCUGGUGACCUUUAAAAAACCUUCUUCUGGUAAAAGAGGGGGAGGAGAGACAAGUUGCAGCAGGGCUAGGGAGGUGACAAGGCUUUUCCUGGGUGGAAGGUUGCUCCCCUCUCAGUAGAGGAAAAAGCCAUGUUAGCUGCUGUUUGGAGAAAGACUGGCCACCCAGAAGCUAGCAUAAUAAGAUACAAAACACACAGACCAGUAAUGCUGUGCAGAGGAAUAAGAGCUGCUGUGUGAGGCAAGUCACAAUCUUGCAAAAAUUAUUUUAUGGCAUCACAGAAUAUCAAGGAGGCUUUAAUAGACAAUACAUGACACUAUUCUUUUUUCUGACUGGAUACUGUUUUUCCAACAUGCUUGUUGUUUAGCCUCAUAGAUGCCCAUCCAUUGAAAACACCCUAGUAUGGUAUCCAUCUAACAUGAAAAGAUCUGAUAGCUUGGUCAACCUUGCUGAUUUUUGGAGUGUGAAUAUUUUCAGAUUCCACUGGAUAAAGCUGUUAUCUGAAGAUGUUUUCAAACUUGUAUUGUAUUCUUGGAUACAAAUAUGAUUCAUUACCAUC